AGGGAUAUAGCUCAGUUAGGUGGAGCACCUCGUUUACACACCGUGACCGCACGCGGAGGAGUUUGGGAAACCCCA
rnacentral:tRNA from 1 species